rnacentral:misc_RNA from 1 species
UAAUAAGUGUUUAUGGCACUUCUCAAAUCCAUAUCCACCUUGUGUGCAAUGUCAGCCGUUUUCUUUAUGAAAGCGGCCAAACAUCAACUUAUUUUUUAACUGUCUGUCUGAAAACUAUUAUGAAUAAACAAUUCAAAUA